GGAAUGAUGAAAAUGUUGAUGUUAAACCUAUGAAAUUUGAUUGAAUUGUGUGAAUAAUGAAAAUGUUAUUGUUAAAACCAUAAAAUUUGAUUGAAUUGUAGGAAUGAUAAAAAUGUGAUGUUAAACCCAUGAAAUUUGAUUGAAUUGUGGGAAUGAUGAACAUGAUGAUGUUAAACCCAUGAAAUUUGAUUGAAUCGUUGGAAUGAUGAAAAUGUUGAUGUUAAAACCAUAAAAUUUGAUUGAAUUGUGGGAAUGAUAAAAGUGUGAUGUUAAACCCAUGAAAUUUGAUUGAAUUGUGGGAAUGAUGAACAUGAUGAUGUUAAACCCAUGAAAUUUGAUUGAAUUGUUGGAAUAAUGAAAAUGUUGAUGUUAAACCCAUGAAAUUUUAAUGAAUUGUGGGAAUGAUGAAAAUGAUGAUGUUACACACAUGAAAUUUGAUUGAGUUAUGGGAUUAAGGAAAUGUUGAUGUUAAACCCAUGAAAUUUGAUUGAAUUGUGGGAAUGAUGAAAAUGAUGAUGUUAAACCCAUGAAAUUUGAUUGAAUUGUGGGAAUGAUGAAAAUGUUGAUGUUAAACCCAUGAAAUUUGAUUGAAUUGUGGGAAUGAUCAAAAUGAUGAUGUUAAACCCAUGAAAUUUGAUUGAAUUGUGGGAAUAAAUGAAAAUAUUGUUGUUAAAACCAUGAAAUUUGAUUGAAUUAUGUGAAUGAUGAAAAUGUUGUUGUUAAACCCAUCAAAUUUGAUUGAAUUGUGGGAAUGAUGAAAAUAUUGAUGUUAAACCCAUGAUAUUUCAUUGAAUUAUGUGAAUAAUGAAAAUGUUAUUGUUAAAUACAUAAAAUUUGAUUGAAUUGUGGGUAUGAUAAAAGUGUGAUGUUAAACCCAUGAAAUUUGAUUGAAUUGUGGGAAUGAUGAAAAUGAUGAUGUUAAACCCAUGAAAUUUGAUUGAAUUGUCGGAAUGAUGAAAAUGUUGAUGUUAAACCCACGAAAUUUGAUUGAAUUGAGGGAAUGAUGAAAAUGAUGAUGUUAAACCCAUGAAAUUUGAUUGAAUUGUGGGAAGAAACGAAAAUAUUGUUGUUAAAACCAUGAAAUUUGAUUGAAUUAUGUGAAUGAUGAAAAUUUUGUUGUUAAAC
rnacentral:lncRNA from 1 species